rnacentral:snoRNA from 1 species
UUCUAUGAUGACCCUACGACAUGCAAAAGGCAAUCCCUCAAACUUAAGUUAUCAUGUGGAAACUGUCAAUUUCAUAAGUUUCAGCCUUGUCUGGAU